UCAUACGCAGCAACGCCGUCCAGCCUCGCCUCGCCAGGCCAGGCAGCUCACUCGCUCGAGUGAAAGGAAUUCAUGACUACAGCUGAGCCAAACAUUCCAUGCAUGAUGUUCACUGGUCUUUCUAGAGGUGAAGAAUCUGCCAAGGUCUGGGGAGGAAGGAAAUGGAGCCAAUCUGGGGAUGAGGAAAUAAAGUGCUUGAAAAUUCA